rnacentral:lncRNA from 1 species
UGGCUUCCCCAGCCGCCAAGCCAGCCAUUCCUGGAGAAGGUGAGGACCUGGGUGUCCGGCUCCUUAGAAGGUGGGGGACAUUGAGUGCAGACUGUCAGUGUUCAUAAUGACUAGGUCACUUUACACAGGCUCCCUUCAGCCUCCUGAACACAGAGGUAACAGAGAUUGCACUCUCCCAUGUAAACUACUUUAUGAAGUCCUUACAAAAUAGUGCUAGAGGCACUGAUCAUCCAAAACUGGAUUCUCUGCUUAUAUCUGGCAUUGAGAGAAGCCCAGCACAUUCCUUAAGGAUCAGGUCUGAGCAUACGUCCCUCGUGGCCUUGCUUCCCCAGUAGCGGUCUCUGAUUAUACGGAUAACUGCUUCAUUCAAACUGACUGGGCAGUUCAGGGAUGCUCUCGGAACCCUGAAUGCGAAGGUCCACUCCAGCU